GGCUGGUCCGAACAGUGGAUAUAACUCAAUUGAUUGUUCACAGUCAGUUAUAGAUUGAACUCCUCAUUUUACUCCUUCUCCCAUUCUCACUACUGCACUUGACUAGUCUUAA
rnacentral:Y_RNA from 1 species